rnacentral:rRNA from 1 species
CUGGUUUGAGAGGAUGAUCAGCCACACUGGGACUGAGACACGGCCCWGWCUCCUACGGGAGGCAGCAGUGGGGAAUAUUGCACAAUGGGCGCAAGCCUGAUGCAGCCAUGCCGCGUGUGUGAAGAAGGCUUCGGGUUGUAAAGCACUUUCAGUCAGGAGGAAAGGUUAGUAGUUAAUACCUGCUAGCUGUGACGUUACUGACAGAAGAAGCACCGGC